AUUGAACGCUGGCGGCAGGCCUAACACAUGCAAGUCGAACGAGUGGCGGACGGGUGAGUAAUGUCUGGGAAACUGCUCGAUGGAGGGGGAUAACUACUGGAAAAGGUAGCUAAUACCGCAUACCAUCGGAUGUGCCCAGAUGGGAUUAGCUAGUAGGUGGGGUAACGGCUCACCUAGGCGACGCUCCCUAGCUGGUAGGAGAGGAUGACCAGCCACACUGGAACUGAGACACGGUCCAGACUCCUACAGUAGACAGCAGUGGGGAAUAUUGCGCAAGGGGCUCAAUCCUAAUGCAGCCAUGCCGCGUGUAUGAAGAAGGCCUUCGGGUUGUAAAGUACUUUCAGCGAGGAGGCGUUACUCGCAGAAGAAGCACCGGCUAACUCCGUGCCAGCCGCCGCGGUAAUAC
rnacentral:rRNA from 1 species